rnacentral:rRNA from 1 species
AGGACGAACGCUGGCGGCGUGCUUAACACAUGCAAGUCGAGCGGAAAGGCCCUUCGGGGUACUCGAGCGGCGAACGGGUGAGUAACACGUGAGUAACCUGCCCCUAGCUCUGGGAUAGCUCCGGGAAACCGGGAUUAAUACCAGAUACGACCACUUUAGACAUCUGUCGUGGUGGAAAGGAUUCCGGCUAGGGAUGGGCUCGCUGCCUAUCAGCUUGUUGGUGGGGUAACGCCUACCAAGGCGACGACGGGUAGCCGGCCUGAGAGGGCGACCGGCCACACUGGGACUGAGACACGGCCCAGACUCCUACGGGAGGCAGCAGUGGGAAUAUUGCGCAAUGGGCGAAAGCCUGACGCAGCGACGCCGCGUGGGGGAUGAAGGCCUUCGGGUUGUAAACCCUUCAGCAGGGACGAAGCGAAGUGACGGUACCUGCAGAAGAAGCGCCGGCUAACUACGCGCCAGCAGCCGC